rnacentral:rRNA from 1 species
GACGAACGCUGGCGGCGUGCUUAACACAUGCAAGUCGAACGGAAAGGCCCUGCUUUUGUGGGGUGCUCGAGUGGCGAACGGGUGAGUAACACGUGAGUAACCUGCCCUUGACUUUGGGAUAACUUCAGGAAACUGGGGCUAAUACCGGAUAGGAGCUCCUGCUGCAUGGUGGGGGUUGGAAAGUUUCGGCGGUUGGGGAUGGACUCGCGGCUUAUCAGCUUGUUGGUGGGGUAGUGGCUUACCAAGGCUUUGACGGGUAGCCGGCCUGAGAGGGUGACCGGCCACAUUGGGACUGAGAUACGGCCCAGACUCCUACGGGAGGCAGCAGUAGGGAAUAUUGCACAAUGGGCGGAAGCCUGAUGCAGCAACGCCGCGUGCGGGAUGACGGCCUUCGGGUUGUAAACCGCUUUCGCCUGUGACGAAGCGUGAGUGACGGUAAUGGGUACAGAAGCACCGGCUAACUACGUG